AAUUUGUUAAUGAAGUCCCAAAAAGUGUUUUAUGUCGUGGUAUCAAAAAGACUUAGUAACAAGGGUGAAAUAUUUUGAAUACCUCCAACUUUAAAACUAUAAAAACUGUAGGUGGUUAUGAGUCGACCAUAUGACUCGUGACCUCAAUAAAUGACUCAUACAAUUGAGUUAUUACCAAGACAGUGAGUUGAACACCCAUAAACUAUCCACCAUACAACUCUAUUUCCC
rnacentral:lncRNA from 1 species